rnacentral:lncRNA from 1 species
GUCAGUCCUAAGCAGCACAACCUUAGCCACUGUGGAGCUAGUGCCAGCUGUGUGAAUCUGUACAGUGGUGCAGUGUUAAGGGCAAAGAGCACUUUGGAGCCAAGGCAGACAAAACUGCGCAGAGCUCCCAGGCCUGGGUGAUGAUCCCUCUUCCCAGACAUCUGAGGAGUUGCCAUAUUGAUGUUCUCUCAUUGUUUCGGCUGAGCUGGAAUGAUCGAAAUAAUUCUGGGACUAUGACAAGUCUCACCAGACCUCGUUAUGGAUCAGGGAGAGGCUAUUCUGUGCUCCAUGUGUGCUCCUUGGUGCAGUGGCCUAGAGAAGAGAAGUGGCAACAAUGGGCAAAACCUUGAAGAAAGUUAAUGAGCUUAAGACAGCAAAAGUGGAAAAAAAAAUCUCUCUAGGUGUUUAAUAUUUGAAGCUGGUAAAAUCUUUAGACUGUAACGCAAAGGCUAUGAAGAAGUAUUGUACCACCCACAGGGUGCCUCAGGCUCCCUCUCCCCUCUCGCUUCCACAUGCCUGUCACAUUCUAUUUUCAGGGAAUCUUUCAUUCAUUCUUUCAGUGCCUAUUUAUUUGGCACCUGCUAUGGUACUAGGCAGUGUGCUACGUGCUAGAGGUACAAACAGAUGAAAUACACAGUCACUAUCCUCAUGGUGCCCCUCACCUAGUGAAGAAUGUGGUGACAAGCAUCAUGAUGGAAUCGAGGUCAGAGCCAAAAUAACUGAAGAGAAUUUCCUGGUGAUGCCUUGCUUCAGGCCCUAAUAUCCAGGGUCCAGGCACCUUUUCUUCCUGGAAUGGCUUCUGCUACAUGUGUCAGGAGAACCACGGCCUGGGAGAGAAUCACAUGGUUGCUUCUAGGUUCAAAUGAGCUGCAGUCACUUCCCCAGAGGAUGUAGAGCAGCAUAAGCCUGCUGGGCAGAGGGGGGGUCCAGGUCCCACUCUCUUGUAUCCGGGGAAGCACACAAAGGGUCUGGAGGACACUGCAUGAAUGUUUCUGCGUGACUGGACCCAUCUGCAGGCAAUUUAACAGUUGCCAAAGUUUCUUCAUCAGUGUGCAGUCUGGAGCACCCAAAGACUGGGCAGGGCUGAUCUGCGGUGACCAAGUUCAGAGGCACAGGAAGGCACAGUUUGCCUGAACAAUGCUGAGCGUGCUUGCAAGCCUGAGAGAUGCAAUUAUUUGAACGCUAUUAUAUGCUGGCCUUCCGGUGAGCUUCAAGGGAGCAGACACUAAGGUCUCUGUUGCACUCUCUGAGCCUCAGGCCACAGGCUGCCUGUGCCUUUCAUGUUCCUUCAGUGGCCAAGGGCAGGUCAUCUGGGAAAUGAAGGGAUGUGAGGCAGAGAUGAUUCUAGGAGAGGGUGGUGCAUUUCCCAUUUUGUUCCCAAAGUUUGGGUUCUUCCUUUAGCAGUUUCACAGUAGACCCAGUUAGUGAUACCAUGUCCAGCCCUUCUCUUCUUAUCGAUCUUGCUCAGGGCAGCAAUGUGCCCAGUUACCUACUUGCUUUCCUAGUUUCUCUCACUGCUGCUGGUAGCUUGUGCCAUAACCCAAGCCAAAUAGAUAUAAACUAAAGUCAGCUUGGGACUCCUGAGAAAGUUUUGCUUAUGUGAUAAAGAGGGCCCAUGUGUCUGGCACUACUCUUCCCCAAUUUCUUUUUGCCUUGGACAUGGACAUGAUGUCUGGAAAGCAGCAGCCAUCAUGUAGCCAUGAGGCAACAAAGAUGAAGACAAAGCUUAGACUGGAAGGGAGGUAAAGUAGAAAGAGCCAUUCAUUUAUUUAUUCAACUAGUAUUUAUUGAGUGUCUGUUAUGUGCCAGGCACUGUUCUAGUUGCUAGAGACACAGCAGUGAAAAAAGCACACAAAAUCCCUGCCUCCUUGGUGUUUAUUUUUAGUGGUAAC